rnacentral:rRNA from 1 species
AUUGAACGCUGGCGGCAUGCCUUACACAUGCAAGUCGAACGGCAGCACGGGUGCUUGCCCCUGGUGGCGAGUGGCGAACGGGUGAGUAAUACAUCGGAACAUGUCCUGUAGUGGGGGAUAGCCCGGCGAAAGCCGGAUUAAUACCGCAUACGAUCUACGGAUGAAAGCGGGGGAACUUCGGGCCUAGCGCUUUAGGGUUGGUUGAUGGCUGAUUAGCUAGUUGGUGGGGUAAAGGCCUACCAAGGCGACGAUCAGUAGCUGGUCUGAGAGGACGACCAGCCACACUGGGACUGAGACACGGCCCAGACUCCUACGGGAGGCAGCAGUGGGGAAGUUUGGACAAUGGGCGAAAGCCUGAUCCAGCAAUGCCGCGUGUGUGAAGAAGGCCUUCGGGUUGUAAAGCACUUUUGUCCGGAAAGAAAUCCUUGGCCCUAAUACGGUCGGGGGAUGACGGUACCGGAAGAAUAAGCACCGGCUAACUACGUG